CAGUUAUUCAAAAAUGAAACGAGCAACCAUUUUUUAUUCCAGCUUCCACUGACAUCUACUGUCAUAUGAAAAUUUAUUUGCCUUUUAUAACAGGAUGCUUUUCUGCAUAUAACAAGAAACAGGUACCAAGCAUUAUUGAUUCAUGUACCUAAAAUAAACCAGAGUUUAAAUGGGCUUCAGGCAUGGUUUGAUUGGGGCUUAGGCUCAGUGUCUGUGAUUUGUUAAGAUUUCCCCUCUUCUGUAUGUCAAUUCCAUUCUCAGACUACCUUUCCUCAUGGUAGCAAAAUUAGCCUAGAAGUUCCAGAUCAUAGCAGUUCAAGUCUAGAGAGAAAUAAAUAAACCUAUGUCCUGUGAUGCAUUCUGAACUGGCUUAGGUCACAUACCUGGACCAAUCACUAAAGUCACAUGGGUGAAAUGCGCUGAUUGACUUGGCUAGGACAUGUGUUCCAUCCCUGAACCCUAAGAUAUAUCUCACUAGAACCAAAUGGAUUCCUAGUGAAAUCAAGGGCUUGAAGAGUGAAUGCCAUGAACCAAUCAAAAAUGUCUAGUAUAGCUUCUUCCUUUGUGUACUGAGCUCUCAUGGACACAUUUAUUCCCACAUACUCACUUUCAAAAAUGCUCAUACUUACAUGUAGUGAAUUUGUCUUCAAAGGGGAAAAGCCUCAAGUCUUAUCCAGUUAUUACAUUUAACAUUAAGUUUAGCAUAGGUGAAAACUUUGGGGGGAGGGAGGAAUUGGGAGGGUUGGAAUAAUAAAUACACACUACUGUAUAAAAUAGAUGAUUGAGAACUUACUGAAUAGCAUAGGAAAUUCUGCUCAAUAGUUUGUAAUAACCUAUAUGGGGAAAAAAAGAAUGGAUAUAUUUAUAUGUAUAACUGAUUCACUUUGCUGUAUGACUGAAACUAAUAUAACAUUGUAAGUCAACUAUAUUCCAAUAAAUUUUUUUAAAGAAACAUUAAGUUUAGGAUUUCUAAUUCACAUUGCAGACAUCUUCAGAUCCAUCAUCCUGACAAUCUUGUCACCUUUUAUUAAAUUAUAAACUAACCUUCACUCCAACAUACCCAACAUACAAUUAUGAAGAAAUAACUGAAGAAGUAUAAUAAAAACUACCACUUUAAAAGGGGAAGAAACAGGGAGCAAUACACAGUAGUUUCUGGUUCAAGGUAUAUGUCAUAACUUGUUAGACAAGGGCUGUACCCUGGCAGUAGAGUGAGUCCUCUGGUCAACCAGCCUCUUUUUAUUCUCUAAGAGGGUCUCUCUUGGAGACAUCUUGAGUGGAUACACUUCCUUGGAGAUGAACAGUUUUACAGUCUAUUUCAACUUCUGCCAUUUCUUGUGUCUGGGUUGAAAUAAUCAGUUUUUCUACUGUUGGCCAGGAUUGAAGUCUCUUUAAUAUAAUAGUUCUCAAACUUUAUCAUGUAAUAGUAUCACCUGAAGAACUUGUUAAACCACAGAUAGCUGGGGCCCACCAACAGAAAUUCUGAUUCAGUAAGUCUAGGUUGGGGUUCAAGGAUAUAUUUAUUCUAACAAGUUCACAAAGGAGACUGAUACUGCUGGUGGUUGGAUCCCACAUUGAGAAUCCCUGACUCAUAGGUGUCAAUUGAGUGAAGCCAGAAUCGUUAUUUCCUUAACUUUCUUGAUAAUAAAUUUACCUAGGCUGCUCGCUAAAAUAGAAGUUCCUGAACCUCACCUUAGUUUUAAUAAAUCAAAAUCUGUUGGCAGGGGAGUAGGGGGACCUGGAAAAUCUCUACCAGAUAUUUCAGGAGAUUCUUAUCAUCAUUGUGAAUACUGAUUGGGAAACACUGGUCUAGGAAAUUAAGCUUUUUAAAUUUUAUUUUAUUUUUCCACUGUACAGCAUGGAGACCAAGUUACACAUACAUGUAUACAUAAUUUUUCCUCCCAUUGUCUUGUUGCAAUGCAAGUAUCUAGACAUGGUUCUCAGGCUUUUCUUGACACCAACCUUAUUUCCUGGUAAGCCUGUCAUCUCCUUGCCCUUGCUCUCACAAAGCUUAGUUUAGGGUAACGAAUUUGGCCUUUGUAAUCCUACAAGCUUCCAAAUUCCCACAUGUCUUUCAACUAGUAUUUCAGGCAACUAGUAACUAAGCUAAGAAAGCGCUAUUUUCUUCCCUCACUGUUUUCAGAUAGGCUAGUUACCACUAUAGAUGUAGUAUGCUUGAACUUUGUCUAAGAAGCAUAGAUCUGAGGGCUCCAAAAGAGCAUAGAAUAGGAGAGACAAUGAGAUCAGUAGAAGCGGCAUAAUUCCAGACUCCACUAGUUCUGUAAUUUGGGGGGUAGCGACUUGAUAUUUUUAAGCUCACUAUUGCUGGUAAGAAACAUUACCUCACUGGGUUCUACUGAUAACUAAAUGAGAACUACAUCCUUAGUGAAAAAUAGUGGAGUGAAGGUACUUAAUAAAGAUGAACUCCAUUUAGUUCCCAAGAGGGUACAGCUCACAUUCUUUUUUUUUUUCCCUUGUGUUUUUGUCUUUUUAGGGCUGCACUUCCUGCAUAUGGAGGUUCCCAGUCUAGGGGUCCAAUCAGAGCUGUAGCCGCCAGCCUAUGCCAGAACCACCGCAAUGCCAGAUCCAAGCCAUGUCUGCGACCUACACCACAGCUCACAGCAACACCGGAUAUUUAACCCACCAAACAAGGCCAGGGAUUGAACCCGCAACCUCAUGGUUCCUAGUCGGAUUCGUUUCCACUGCGCCAUGACGGGAACUCCUCACAUUCUUUUAGCGAACCUUCAUAUUUAGCAAUAUCCAGUGACAUUUAACUAGUGAAUAUAGUCCAGAAAUUCUAUUACUGAAAUAUGACUGUAAACAAUCCUAUGGAUGUACAUAGCUCCUUCUUUUCUGAUAAAGAAUUUUCCCAGAGAAAUCCUCAUAGCAUUCCUGAAUCGUUAGAAGGGCAGGAUGUUAUCCUACUUUGUAGAUUCAAUCAUUCAAUUGCUUUUUGAUAGUCUUAGAUGAUACUUAUGAAGGAGAUAAAUAAUGUCCAUAUUUCUAGGGAGCUUAGAUUUUCAUAGUGGGAGAAAGGCAGCAAAGACAUAGACAUUAUAUCAUUUAUGGGACUGAUAGGUUAUAUGAAAUUUGCAGGGGGUGGGGGAGAGAACGGGAUGGAUGGGGAGUUUGGGGUGAAUAGAUGCAAACUAUUACAUUUGGAACAGAUGGAUAAUGGGGUCUUACUGUACAGAACAGGGAACUGUGCCAAGGCUCUUGGGUUAGAACAUGAUGGAAGGUAAUAUGAAAAAAAAAGAAUGUAUGUGUAUGUGCAGCUGGGUCACUUUGCUAUGCAGCAGAAAUUGAAGGAACAUUGUAAGUCAACUAUAAUUUUAAAAAAGCAAAGCAAUAGGAUAGAGGGUAACUAGAUAAGGGAGCUAAUUCAACUAGGGUUUGUCAAAAAAAAAGGCUUGAUGGAUAUUUAAAUAGAUAACUGAAUGACAAGAAGCCAGCUUGUGCAGCAAUUUCAAGGAGGAGUGAUCUAUAGAGAAAAACAAGUUGAGAGACCAGAAUACCUGAAAUAUUUUAUUCAUAGUUAUUAAUUCAGUCAUGUGUUUAAUACUGAGACCAAUAAUUCAUGAUUUUUCUCUGCUGUUCCAUAUAGCUGGCUAACUAUUCUCUGCUGUUUUCUGGUAAAUUUUUCUCUUUGUGAAGGACUAAGGACAUUGCUGACAACAUUUUUAUGCAUUUUUUUUAAUUGUACCCUGGUCCUGGAGAUGAUGUGAAGGGGCUAAGAAGUCAAUGAUUAAAUGGAAAUGGGGCAUAUUUCUCCCUCAACCCCAAAUCCAUGAUAACAGGUCUAUAGCACAGAGUUAAAGUUGAAGCCCAAAUAUAAUGUAAUGAAUGUAUAAACCUAUUUUUGAGGUUAUAGUCUCAAGCACAUACUGCAAGAUAUUUGAGCCAUUUAGUUUAGAUCAUUAAUCUCUGGAGAGCAGUGGGAUGGCAAAAAGCAUUUAUUGAACACCUAGUAUAUGCCAGGCAUAUCUUAAUCUUCACAGGAUACGGGGAGCUGACUGUAACUAUCUCCAUUUUAUGGAUAAGGAAAUCACACUUAGAAAAAAGAUACAUGGGCAAAAACAGCUAGUAACAGUACUACACAUGAACCUAAGUCUCCUGAUGCCAAGUGCUAUUCUAAUUAUUAUUUUUGCAAAUGUUUGCCUAAAGAAAUGGGAAAUAAGCAAGAGCACCAAGGGAAAAGUCAAAGUGAGUUACAGCUGUUGUCUUACUAUUCUUUCAUCUCUGUCGCCUUCUUUCAACACAUACUUUCUACUUGAUUCAUUUAUUCUUUCCAUAAAUAUAUUUAGCACUUAAUUUUUCCAGACACUGUAAUUAGGAACUUGGGAUAUUUCAGUAAAUAAAACAUUCAGUGAUCCCUGUCCUCAUGGAGCUUACAUGCAAACAAGAGGAGGCUGUCAAUAAACAAUGAAAAAUAAGGAAAUAAAUUACAUGAGAGAAGUGACAUUGUGGACAAAAUGAAAAUUAGACAAGGGUAAGAGGUUAAGAGGAGCGGUAGGUUGCAAAAUUAAAUAGGGAGAGCAGGAUAGACUUCAUGGGAAAGAUAAUAUUUGUGCAAAGAAAUGAGGGAAGUGAAGGAGUUAUCCAAGCAUGUAGCUAGAGAAAGAGCAUAUGAGGCAAAAGGAGCUGCUAGAGGAAAAGCCCUAAGGUAGGUGUGUUAUUAGCAUGUUCAAAGACCAAGGAGGCUACUUUGCCUAGAGCUACAUAAGUGAAGGUGACAGACAUAAGUGAAGUCAGAGAAAUAAUUAGGGACUAAAUCACAUAAGGCCUUGUCAUGCAUUAUAUGAACUCUAUGAAAUGAGAAGCCUGUCACAGGUUGCAUUCUGCAGGAAGCAAACUCGAAACAAUCCUUCAGAAAAUGUUUUAAACAAUGCUGGCAAAGAAGCAGGAACAAAAAGGGAAAAGUUAAGCUCUGAUACUCAAUGAUAGUGUCAGCCACAACUCAUAACACUGAUCAAUCACUGGAUAUAGGUAGGCUACCUUGGGAAAGGAUGUGACCUUGGACAAGGCUGCUCUCUAAAGCUGAAGCAAUCCUUAAACAGAGAAGAUAGCUGAAACUGCAGUAAUGAGCCUGUCAAUGAAAGAUAACCUGGAUUUUGCAUCUCCAUAUCCACAAAGGCAUUGCAGAUUUUGAGCAGAAAAUUGGCCUGACUUCCUUUUUUAAAGGAUCGCUCCAAUGUUUUAAGCACUGGUAAUAGAGGGAAAACUAUGAAAUUAGUGAAACUAGUUAGUAUUAUGAAAACCCAGGUAUGAGCUGAUAAUAUCUGAAAGGUAACAAUGGAGGUGGUAAGAAGAAUUUGAAUUUGGGAUAUAUUUUGAAGGAAACCCCCAGGAUUUGCUCACCAAUUGGAAGUGGUAUGUGAGAGGGAAAUAGAGGAGUCAUGGAUGGCUUCAAAAUUUUUAGACUAAACAACUGGAAGAAUGGAGUGGCCAUCAACACAGAAAGAGAAGGCUGUGAUUUGGAUGGAUGUAGAGGUAGGAUUAGGAAUUCAGUUUUGGAAAAGUUGGGUUUGAGGUGUUUUUAGGACACCUAAGUAAGAUGUUAAGCAGUUAUUGAAUAUGAGUCACAGUUCAGAGGAGAGAUCUCACUGAGCUGGACAUAAAUUUGGUAAGUCCUGUAUAUAAAUGGAAUUUAAAAAAUACAGGAGUAUAUAAAAUCACCCUAGGAACAAGUGUACAUAAGGAAGAGCAUAUGAUUAUAAGCAGAGCCCUGGACCACAAUGAUAUUUGGGGAAGAGGAGACACAAACAAAAGAAACUAAGAGGUAGGAGUUAAAGUGUGUGGUAUCCAAAGUGUAUAUGUAUGACUGUUGUACAGCAGAAAUUAUCACAGCCUUAUAAGUUAACUAUACUUCAAUCAAAUUUCUAAAAAAAAGCAAAGCAACAGCAACAAAAAAGAUUGUGGUAUCAUGGAAGUCCUUCCUUCUUAGCCACCUACCUACACACCCUAAAUCUCUUUCUAACAAAUUAUUUACAUUCAAUUUUAAAUGUCAUCUCUAAGAUGAUUGUUUUGCUUUUCAUCUCCUUUGAGUAAAACUACUCAACACGAAGAACCCAUACAUGACAUUUUUUAACUGUAUCAAAGUAAUAUCACCACCAGUCUGAGCACUCCUAACUCAUUCUUUUCUAAGACACCCCUAAAGGUAGAAAAAUUUUGAGGGAAAAUGUGGUUUCCUUAAACCUACACCAAUGUUAUUAAUGAGGCCAGUAGACUAACAGCAAACACCUAGAAGGUAAAAAUUUAUUUUUUUAUUUUUUAAAGAUUUUAUUUUUUAUUAUAGUUAAUUUACAAUGUUCUGUCAAUUUCUGCUGUACAGCAAGGUGACCCAUCUAUUUUUCACCUAUAACACCGCAGAAAGCAAAUGGAAUAGAUGGGGUAAGUGUCACGGAAGAAGAGUGUUUUAGGUGGGAAGCCAAAGACUAUCUCAAAGCUCAGUUAAGUAAGCACAAAGAAGGAAGUCAGGACCAGUGAAAGAGAACCCUUGCUCAUCGGAGACGCUAUUAUAUCAAACCUUUGUGUUAUAUGCACACAGCCAAGCCCUACCCAGUUGCUAAAAUUCAGCAAUUUGGCUCUAUCAGUAAUUAGUUAUGGAACACAGGAUAUUUCCGAUGAAGAUGGCCUCAGUUGGGUUCUCAGUAGUCAUCUUCCACACAGGCAUACUUCUGACCUUGCAGAACCCUCACCCAUCCCACCCACUUAAGCAUACUCAAGUUGUUGAUUUCCAUGGAUAUUUUUUGAUUUGCUAUUUGCUGGAUAGUUACUGACUCUCUUGGAUGUAUUCCUUGUCUAUAGGAUCACCCCUGGCUUAAAUACACAAGAAUACAAAUCAUUGCGCAUAAACUGUCAGACUCAACCACUCAUAAGAUAAGUCAUAUCAUUCUUGGCCCACUCCUUUUAAAAACCUCAUCUACUUGGGAUUGCAUCCAUUCUCUUGAGUGAGAUUGUGACUAUUUCUAUUGAGAUUUCAUUUUACACAUGAAGAGAGGGAGGAAAUGAGAAAUAGAAGGAUAGCUGAGGGAAGAGUAGAGAGCCUCACAGUCUUCCAAUCCUGAUACUUCUUCCCUUUUGCCCUCCCUCCUUCUUCCCCUUAUUCAUUAAAAUGUGAAUAUCCUGCACACAUAAGUAUCAUCAGCUGUGGGGAGGGAAAGGAACAGGUGUUCCAAGGGUGCCUAAGUGGAAAUUAUCACCCCUGACAAAGAAAGGCAGGUAUUGGAAUGAAUUUUAAUGGAUCAGUAUUCCAUCUGAAAUUGAUAAUGCCUCUUAAAAUAAAUGGUUUCAUAGUAUGAAUGAAAUGCAGUUAAUGUUAAUAAAUUUUCAUGAUAAAUGGGGCCACUGAAUCAAGGACCUAAACGUAAGUCCAGAUAAUAUAAAACUCAUAGAAGAAAGCAGAGGCAGAACAGUCUUUGACAUAAAUCUUGGCAAUAUCUUUUUUGACCCCCUUCUAGAAUAAUGAAAAUGAAAACAAAAAUAAACAAAUGGGACAUAAUUAAACUUAAAAACUCUACACAGCAAAGGAAACCAUAAAGAAAAUGAAAAGACAAACAACAGAAUGGGAGAAAACCUUUGCAAAAAAAGCAACCAACAGGGAUUAAUCUCCCAAAUAUAUGAACAUUUCAUGCAGCUUUAUAUCAAAAAAUAUCAAAAUGGAAGAAAAUCUACAUAGAUAUUUCUCCAAAGAAGACAGGUGGGGGAAAACACAUCAAAAGAUGUUCAACAUCACUAAUUAUUAGAGAAAUGCAAGUCAAAACUGCAUUGAGGAGUUCCUGAGGUGAAUCAGUAGUUAACAAAUCUGACUAGGAACCAUGAGGUUUUGGGUUCUAUCCCUGGCCUCACUCAGUGGGUUGAGGAUCUGGUGUUGCCAUGAGCUGUGGUGUAGGUCGCAGAUGUGGCUUGGAUCCUGUGUUGCUGUGGCUAUGGUGUAUGGCAGCGGCUACAGCUCUGAUUAGACCCCUAGCCUGGGAACCUCCAUACGCCACGGGUGCAGCCUUAGAAAAGGCAAAAAAAAAAAAAAAAUUAAAAAAAAA
rnacentral:lncRNA from 1 species